UCUCUGGAGGUCGAGUGGUUAGGACUCAGCAUUUUCACUGCUAUGGCCCAAGUUCAAUGCUUGGUCAGGGAA
rnacentral:tRNA from 1 species